rnacentral:rRNA from 1 species
AGCGAACGCUGGCGGCAGGCCUAACACAUGCAAGUCGAGCGCCGUAGCAAUACGGAGCGGCAGACGGGAGAGUAACACGUGGGAACGUACCCUUUGGUUCGGAACAACCCAGGGAAACUUGGGCUAAUACCGGAUAAGCCCUCACAGGGAAAGAUUCAUCGCCGAAGGAUCGGCCCGCGUCUGAUUAGCUAGUUGGUGGGGUAAUGGCCCACCAAGGCGACGAUCAGUAGCUGGUCUAAGAGGAUGAUCAGCCUCACUGGGACUGAGACACGGCCCAGACUCCUACGGGAGGCAGCAGUGGGGAAUAUUGGACAAUGGGCGCAAGCCUGAUCCAGCCAUGCCGCGUGGGUGAUGAAGGCCCUAGGGUUGUAAAGCCCUUUCGGCGGGGAAGAUAAUGACGGUACCCGCAGAAGAAGCCCCGGCUAACUUCGUGCCAGCCGCCGCUGUAAAAC